UGAGGAAUAUUGGUCAAUGGGCGAGAGCCUGAACCAGCCAAGUAGCGUGCAGGACGACGGCCCUAUGGGUUGUAAACUGCUUUUAUGUGGGGAUAAAGUGCGUGACGUGUCAUGCAUUGCAGGUACCACAUGAAUAAGGACCGGCUAAUUCCGUUCCAGCAGCCGCGGUAAUACGGAAGGUCCGGGCGUUAUCCGGAUUUAUUGGGUUUAAAGGGAGCGUAGGCUGUCUAUUAAGCGUGUUGUGAAAUGUAGGAGCUCAACUUCUAGAUUGCAGCGCGAACUGUCAGACUUGAGUGCGCACAACGUAGGCGGAAUUCAUGGUGUAGCGGUGAAAUGCUUAGAUAUCAUGAAGAACUCCGAUUGCGAAGGCAGCUUACGGGAGCGCAACUGACGCUGAAGCUCGAAGGUGCGGGUAUCGAACAGG
rnacentral:rRNA from 1 species